CGCCGCGUGGGGGUGACGUCCUUCGGGUUGUAAACCUCUUUCGACCCCGACGAAUUUGGACGGUAGGGGUAGAAGAAGCACCGGCCAAAUACGUGCCAGCAGCCGCGGUAACACGUAGGGUGGGAGCGUUGUCCGGAAUUAUUGGGCGUAACGAGCUGGUUGGCGGUGUGUCGCGUCGGCCGUGAAAACUUGGGGCUUAACUCUGAGCUUGCCGUCGAUACGGGCCUCACUGGAGUUCGGCAGGGGAGAGUGGAAUUCCUGGUGUAGCGGUGAAAUGCGCAGAUAUCAGGAGGAACACCGGUGGCGAAGGCGGGUCUCUGGGC
rnacentral:rRNA from 1 species